GAUGAACGCUGGCGGCGUGCCUAACACAUGCAAGUCGAGCGGGAAAUUCCUGAUUGAAACUUCGGUCGAUUGAAGGGAUGGAGAGCGGCGGACGGGUGAGUAACGCGUAGGCAACCUGCCUUAUGCAGAGGGAUAGCCACUGGAAACGGUGAUUAAAACCUCAUAACACCAUCAUACCACAUGAUAAGAUGGUCAAAGAUUUAUCGGCAUAAGAUGGGCCUGCGUCUGAUUAGCUAGUUGGUGAGGUAACGGCUCACCAAGGCGACGAUCAGUAGCCGACCUGAGAGGGUGAUCGGCCACAUUGGAACUGAGACACGGUCCAA
rnacentral:rRNA from 1 species